CUUCGAAUAUUCUGGGUUCAUACAAAGGUGAACUAAUGAUAUUUACAACAAAAAAAAUGGUCCUAAAUUUGUUGCAAAUUUCUUCAUAUAGAAUUGGUUGUUGUAUUGACUUGUACAAGUAAUAUAGCAGGGAUCUAAACAAGGCUCAGUCAGGUCCACUGCAAGAGAAAAACAGUCAAAAUAUGAAGACAAUUCAGUAAUUUAACUAUCAGGAUGGUGUAACAAAGUUUAAAUCUCAACACAUGUAAAUUGCAAAUUAAUAAUUCUAGGUUACGUGUUGAAUAUUGAUCAAGGUUAACAUAUUGAAUUGUGUUAAACUGAGGUAAAUUCUGAGUUCAAGUACUUCUACCAAGCUAUUAAUUCAUCCUCUAAUGUAUUCAUUAUUUAUAAUUAUAUUACCGGUUAUUGAUGUGGAAAAAUACCAUGUAUUUAUAAAAACACUUCUGGCUUUGUAAGAAUUAGAAAACAUUUUUCAAAGAAGUUAUACAACAUAAUUUUACCAUAUUUACUUAGAUAUUUGGUAGUGUUAUCAGAUAUUUAAACAGACAUUCAUGCUUACAUUUCUGUUGUCUCUAAAUUCCCAACAAGCCUGAAUCCUCUUAGUACUAGAAAACAACUAGGCAACAUUUUAUGUCAUCUAUAGUGAUGUCACACAGUGUGACACUAAUGAAAUAAUGGGUGCUAUGUAUAGUGUUUGGCUGUUUAUUUGGUGUAUAUUUUAGGAAAAAUCAAUCUCCAGAGGUCUUCCAGCAUGAUCUUGUAAAUGUCUUAGGACACAGUUGCUGCAGGAGAAGACUAAGUAGGGACAAGGAUGUAAAGAAAUAUGGCCACCAAAAGCCAUUACCCUUUGAACCCGAUCCAGCAAAUAAGAAGAGCUUUUGGCAUAUGCGUCUGCCAAGAACAUCUGAGAGCUACGAGAAGCAGCCACUAUAAUCACACACAGAGAGAGAGAGAGGCAGAGACACAGGCAGAGGGAGAAGCAGGC